CUGGUUCAUGCUGUUGUUCUCUCUCGCCUUGACUAUUGCAAUCCCCUUCUCACCGGCCUUACAUGUUCCCAGCUUGCACCGCUGCAAUCUAUAAUGAAUACAGCUGCGAGGCUUAUUUUCCUGUCCGGUCGCACCUCCCACGCCUCCACACUCUGUCAGUCCCUGCAUUGGCUUCCAGUUAGAUAUAGGGCCCAAUUCAAAAUUCUGGCGCUUGCUUACAAAUCCCUACAUAAUGCUGCUCCAACAUAC